rnacentral:sRNA from 1 species
AUUUGACUUAACAGCCACUUUCAUUUUGGGUGUGUUUUUCAAAAGCAGAUCUGCAUUCUGCCCCUCCUGAUGUCACCACGGGCCUCGUGGAGCAUUCGUACUUUGAGCGUCCACAGGUGACUUCUGUGAGAAGUGUUCCUCGGGGGUGCAGCGGGAGCAUGCUGGAAACAGCAGAUGGUGUCCCUGUGAACAGCAGAGUGUCCUCCAAAAUCCAGCAGCUUCUGAACACCCUGAAGAGGCCAAAGCGCCCUCCACUGAAGGAGUUCUUUGUGGAUGAUUUUGAGGAAUUGUUGGAAGUUCAGCAACCAGAUCCAAAUCAGCCGAAGCCUGAGGGAAGCGAGACAAGUGUGCUGAGAGGGGAGCCUCUCACUGCAGGUGUCCUCCGACCGCCGUCACUGUUGGCCACCUUGCAGCGCUGGGGCACAACACAGCCCAAAUCCCCCUGUCUGACUGCCUUGGAUACAACUGGGAAAGCCACCUACACUCUCACCUAUGGUAAACUUUGGAGUCGGAGUUUAAAACUAGCUUAUACUCUACUUAAUAAACUGACAAGUAAGAAUGAACCUCUACUUAAACCUGGAGACAGAGUGGCGCUCGUGUUUCCGAAUAGUGACCCUGUGAUGUUCAUGGUUGCAUUUUAUGGGUGUCUCCUGGCAGAGCUGGUUCCUGUCCCCAUAGAAGUGCCAUUAACAAGAAAGGACGCAGGCAGCCAGCAGGUUGGGUUUCUGCUGGGCAGCUGUGGAGUCUCCUUGGCCCUGACCACAGAUGCUUGUCAGAAAGGCCUCCCCAAGGCACAGACGGGAGAGGUGGCAGCUUUCAAAGGUUGGCCCCCCCUCUCCUGGUUAGUGAUUGAUGGGAAGCAUCUAGCCAAGCCCCCCAAGGACUGGCACCCUCUGGCCCAGGACACAGGGACUGGGACUGCCUACAUUGAGUAUAAAACCAGCAAAGAAGGCAGUACGGUGGGGGUCACAGUGUCCCACGCAUCCCUGCUGGCACAGUGCCGAGCUCUGACCCAGGCGUGCGGGUACUCAGAAGCUGAAACAUUAACAAAUGUGCUGGAUUUCAAAAGGGAUGCUGGUCUGUGGCAUGGAGUGUUAACAAGCGUCAUGAACAGGAUGCAUGUGGUCAGCGUCCCCUACGCGCUGAUGAAGGCGAACCCACUCUCCUGGAUCCAGAAAGUGUGCUUCUAUAAAGCUCGGGCCGCACUGGUGAAGUCGCGAGACAUGCACUGGUCUCUCCUAGCUCAGCGGGGCCAGAGGGAUGUCAGCCUCAGCUCACUGCGCAUGCUGAUUGUGGCUGAUGGCGCCAACCCGUGGUCGAUCUCCUCCUGUGAUGCCUUCCUCAACGUCUUCCAGUCCAGAGGUCUGAGGCCGGAGGUCAUCUGUCCUUGUGCAAGUUCUCCUGAGGCGCUCACUGUCGCCAUCCGCAGGCCACCUGAUCUGGGAGGACCACCUCCAAGAAAAGCAGUCCUAUCGAUGAACGGUCUAAGUUAUGGUGUUAUCAGAGUGGAUACUGAAGAAAAGUUGUCAGUCCUUACUGUUCAGGACGUUGGUCAGGUGAUGCCUGGAGCUAAUGUAUGUGUUGUGAAGUUAGAAGGUACCCCUUAUCUUUGUAAAACUGAUGAAGUGGGAGAAAUAU